GACGAACGCUGGCGGCGUGCCUAAUACAUGCAAGUUGAGCGCUGAAGGUUGGUACUUGUACCAACUGGAUGAGCAGCGAACGGGUGAGUAACGCGUGGGGAAUCUGCCUUUGAGCGGGGGACAACAUUUGGAAACGAAUGCUAAUACCGCAUAAAAACUUUAAACACAAGUUUUAAGUUUGAAAGAUGCAAUUGCAUCACUCAAAGAUGAUCCCGCGUUGUAUUAGCUAGUUGGUGAGGUAAAGGCUCACCAAGGCGAUGAUACAUAGCCGACCUGAGAGGGUGGUCGGCCACAUUGGGACUGAGACACGGCCCAAACUCCUACGGGAGGCAGCAGUAGGGAAUCUUCGGCAAUAGACGAAAGGCUGACCGAGCAACGCCGCGUGAGUGAAGAAGGGUUUCGGAUCGUAAAACUCUGUUGGUAGAGAAGAACGUUGGUGAGAGUGGAAAGCUCAUCAAGUGACGGUAACUACCCAGAAAGGGACGGCUAACUACGUG
rnacentral:rRNA from 1 species